UCGAGACCGAAUAUCGAGCGAUUCAGAGAACUUGUGAAAUAAACGGCGACGAUCGUUGCUGUGAAACAGCCAUCUUAUUCGUCCCACCCCUUCCUUCGGAGGGGGUCCGCGAUGAUGGAUGGUUGAAACCCCAAACCGGCGCAAAUUCGCGCCAAGGGACUAUUGAAAAGCACGAGCCCUUUCAUCGGGGCUCUGUGGUGUGGAGCGGUAUGUGUACCGCACGUAUUGACACGACUCUCGGCAAUGGAUAUCUCGGCUCUCGCAUCGAUGAAGAGCGCAGCGAAAUGCGAUACGUGGUGCGAAUUGCAGAAUCCCGCGAACCAUCGAGUCUUUGAACGCAAGUUGCGCCCGAGGCCAACCGGCCGAGGGCACGUCCGCCUGGGCGUCAAGCGUUGCGUCGCUCCGCGUCGAGUCCCAUCCCACGAGUGGGGGUGGCGACGAAGGCUCGGAUGUGUAGAGUGGCCCUUCGUGCCCAUCGGUGCGGCGGGUUGAAGAGCGGGUUAUCGUCUCGAUGGCCACGAACAACGAGGGGUGGAUGAAAGCUACAGCAAGGCCUGCGUUGUCUCGUGAUGGCCCGAGAGAAGAUCAUACCCUUAGUGUGAUCCCAUCCAUGCACCGACCCACAUGCGGCUGCU
rnacentral:misc_RNA from 1 species